rnacentral:rRNA from 1 species
CCCCGCAGAGCGGCUCAGUAAAACGUGGUUCACCUACCCUUGCCACGCGGACAACGCCGGGAAACUGGCGAUAAUCCCCGAUAGGUGAGGGACGCUGGGAUGCUUCCUCGCUCAAAGCUCCGGCGCCCGAGGAUGGGACUGCGGCCUAUCAGGCUGUUGGUGGUGUGACGGACCACCAAACCUACGACGGGUACGGGCGAUGGGAGUCGGAGCCCGGAGAUGGGGACUGAGACAAGGCCCCAGGCCCUACGGGGCGCAGCAGGCGCGAAAACUCCGCAAUGCGCGCAAGCGUGACGGGGGAACCCCAAGUGCCGUUGGUCUUUUGAUCGACGGCUUUUCGGAAGUUCAAUACGCUUCCGGAAUAAGGGCUGGGUAAGGCUGGUGCCAGCCGCCGCGGUAA